rnacentral:rRNA from 1 species
AGAAUCAACGCUGGCGGCGUGCCUAACACAUGCAAGUCGAACGAGAAAGUGGAGCAAUCCAUGAGUAAAGUGGCGACCGGGUGAGUAACACGUGACUAACCUACCCUAGAGUGGGGAAUAACCUCGGGAAACCGGGGCUAAUACCGCAUAACAUCGCAGAGGGAAGCUCUUUGCGAUCAAAGGAGCAAUUCGCUCAAGGAGGGGGUCGCGGCUUGAUUAGUUAGUUGGUGAGGUAACGGCUCACCAAGACUUAGAUCAGUAUCCGGCCUGAGAGGGCGCACGGACACACUGGAACUGAAACACGGUCCAGACUCCUACGGGAGGCAGCAGUGGGGAAUUUUGCGCAAUGGGGGAAACCCUGACGCAGCAACGCCGCGUGGAGGAUGAAGUCCCUUGGGAUGUAAACUCCUUUCGAUCGGGACGAUUAUGACGGUACCGGAAGAAGAAGCACCGGCUAACUCUGCGCCAGCAGCCGCGGUAA